rnacentral:misc_RNA from 2 species
CUGAGUGUAAAAACUCCCAAACCCCUGUGAACAUACCAUCUGUUGCUUCGGCGGGAUCGCCCCGGGCGCCUUUGCGUGCCCCGGAUCCAGGCGCCCGCCGGAGGACUCCAAACUCUUGUUUUAUAUGUGGCAUUAUCUGAGUGGCUUAUAGCAAAAUAAAUCA